UACGGAGGGUGCAAGCGUUGUCCGGAAUCACUGGGCGUAAAGGGCGCGUAGGCGGCUCAUGAAGGCUGUGGUGAAAGUCCGGGGCUCAACCUCGGAUCGGCCGUGGCGACUCGUGGGCUGGAGCACUGUAGAGGCGGGUGGAAUUCCGGGUGUAGCGGUGGAAUGCGUAGAGAUCCGGAAGAACACCAGUGGCGAAGGCGAGUCCCUGGACAAUACCUGACACUGAGGCACGAAAGCUAGGGGAGCAAACAGG
rnacentral:rRNA from 1 species